GAAACAAAGGAGUCACUAGUUGAGGAACCUGAAGCCGAAAAGAACAUUUCUGAACAAGUUCCUGCGGUUCAGGAGGAACCCGUUAUUGACAACGAAUUGAUGAGUAAACCUACUGCUGAAAAUGAGCAGCCGAAGGUUCAGGAAACAAAGAGUUACUAGUUGAGGAACACGAAGCUGCAAAGAACAUUGCUGAACAAGUUCCUGCAGUUCAGGAGAGCUCCGUCAUUGUCAACGAAUUGAUGAAUAAACCAACUGCUGAUAAUGAGCAGCUAAAGGUUCAAGAAACAAAAGAGUUACUAGUUGAGGAACAUGAAGCUACAAA